CUACGGGGGGCACCAGUAAGGAAUAUUGCGCAAUGGAGGCAACUCUGACGCAGCCAUGCCGCGUGCAGGAAGAAGGCCUUAUGGGUCGUAAACUGCUUUUAUUUAGGAAUAAACCCCCGAACGUGUUCGGGGCUGAAGGUACUAAACGAAUAAGCACCGGCUAACUCCGUGCCAGCAGCCGCGGUAAUACGGAGGGUGCAAGCGUUAUCCGGAUUUAUUGGGUUUAAAGGGUGCGCAGGCGGGCUAUUAAGUCAGUGGUGAAAUCCCGGGGCUCAACUCCGGAACUGACAUUGAUUCUGAUAGUCUUGAGUUUGGUUGAAGUGGGCGGAAUGUAGCAUGUAGCGGUGAAAUGUAUAGAUAUGCUACAGAACACCAAUCGCGAAGGCAGCUCACUAAGCCAAAACUGACGCUCAUGCACGAAAGCGUGGGGAUCAAACAGGAUUAGAUACCCGCGUAGUC
rnacentral:rRNA from 1 species